GUGUCAGCCGCCGCGGUAAUACGGAGGGUGCAAGCGUUAAUCGGAAUUACUGGGCGUAAAGCGUACGUAGGCGGCGUGUUAAGCAAGAUGUGAAAGCCCCGGGCUCAACCUGGGAAUUGCAUUUUGAACUGGCAUGCUAGAGUCCUGAAGAGGGUGGUAGAAUUUCCAGUGUAGCGGUGAAAUGCGUAGAUAUUGGAAGGAAUACCGGUGGCGAAGGCGGCCACCUGGUCAGAGACUGACGCUGAGGUACGAAAGCGUGGGGAGCAAACAGGAUUAGAUACCCCUGUAGUCC
rnacentral:rRNA from 1 species